UGUUCCCUGGGUUGUUUGCCAGUCGAUAUGUCCUCGACCCUUUAUGCGAAAUCCAGGAGGUCUUUUUUCUUUGCCAUGUGCACGUCCGGUUUUACGGGAAGCCUGAGGCAAGUCGGAGACCACCGCCUUGAACCGCUGGGUUCAAGGGCCUAUCCGAACAGCGGCAAUUUGGGGAACGA
rnacentral:other from 1 species